AUCCUACUGCCUCUGGCAUGCAAGAUCUUGCUGAAAAAUAAGCUCAUGAGAGAUCUUAUAGAGGUUCCCCUGUACGUGACCAGUCGUUUUUUCUCUUUCUGCUUUCAAAAUUCCCCUUUUAUCAUUAAUUUUUGACACUUUCAAUAUAAUAAAUUUAAGUGUACAUUUUUGGAAUAAUUUCACUUAUUUGAAGUCUGUUAGGCCUCCUGAUUCUAGAUGUCCAAUUCCUUUUUUAGAGUUGAGAUGUUUUCAGGAACUAUAUAUAUAUACAUAUAUAUUUUUUUGUUUUUGUUUUUUUUUUUGAGACGGAAUCUUACUCUGUCACCAGGCUAGAGUGCAGUGGCACAAUCUCAGCUCACUGCAACCUCUGCCUCCCGGGUUCAAGUGAUUCCCCUGCCUCAGUCUCGCAAGUAGCUGGGACUACAGGCAUGUGCCACCAUGCCUGGCUAAUUUUUUGUAUUUUAGUAGAGACAGGGUUUCACCAUGUUGGCCAAGAUGGUAUCGAUCUCCUGACGUCGUGAUUCACCCCGCUCAACUACAGGCAUGAGCCACCAUGCCCAGCCUAGAAACUAUAUUUUUAAAAUAAUAUUUCUGUCCAUUUUUUCCCUCUCCUUCUUUUUCUUCUCCGACUUCCAUAAUGCAUAUAUUGGUCUACUUAUGGUGUCCUUAAAGUCCCUUAAGCUUUUCUUACUCUUGCUUACUAUUUCAUUCUUUUUUUAUUUUUGCUUCUCUGGGUAAUUUCCAAUGAUCUCUCUUUGAGUUCACUAAUUCUUCUGCUUGAUCUGGUGUGUUGUUGAACCUCUAGUGUUCAGUUACAUUCUUCAGCUCUAAAAUUUCCGGUUUUUAAAAUAUAUUUUCUAUCUCUUUUUUGAAAUUUUCACUUUGCUUAUGCAUUGUUCUCCUGACCUUGUUAAGUAUCUUUAUGAUGGUUAUGUUGAAUAUUCUGUGAGGUAGAUCACAUAUCUCUGUUUUAUUAGGGUCAGUUUCAGGAGGUUUAUUUUGUUCCUUUGUUUGGGACAUAUUUUCCUAUUUCUUCAAGUUUUCUUGGUACUUUGUGUUGGUUAACUGCAUAUUAGAGAAAACAGCUAUGAUGUGGUUUGGAUGUGUCCCUGCCCAAAUCUCAUCUUGAAUUGUUACUCCUAUAAUUCCCAUGUGUUAUGGGAGGGACCCAGUGAAAGAUAAUUGAAUCAUGGGGCGGUUUCCCCCAUACUGUUCUCACGGUAGUGAAUAAGUUUCAUGAGAUCUGAUGAUUUUGCAAAGGGGUUUCCCCCUUUGCUUGGCUCUCAUUCUCUCUUGUCUGCCACCAUGUAACAUGUGCCUGCUGCCUUCCACUAUGGUUUUGAGGCCUCCCCAGCCACGUGAAACUGUGAGUAUAUUAAGCCUCUUUUUCUUUAUAAAUUACCCAGUCUUAGGUUAUGUCUUCAUCAGCACAAUGAAAAUGGAUGAAUACAAGCUAUCCCUCUGAGUCUUCACAGUAUUGCCUCAUGCAAGAAAAGACCCUCACUAAUCAUCCCAGCCAGAGAUUUGGGGUGGGGGGGCGGGAUUUCAAACUUUAUUGCUAGUCCAACUACCUUCUUUGUUCUCAGUGACACCCUGGUGUCCAGAGUAUGACAGGUUCCAUCAGUACUCUGAGACAAGCAAGACUGAAGCCAGUCCCUCAGGCAGCAUCUGGAAAAGUUGAAUAGUUGGACUUUCUGUUCAAUUCUUUCCUUCUUCAAAGAGAAGUGGGGAUCUGAGUAUGUUUUCGUUUGCUCUGUGCUGGGCUAAAUGGAAGGGGUUGUAUGAGGGUGACUAUCAGGAGGCAGGAAUCAUUAGAAGACAUCUUAGAAUCUACCGACCACACUAGUCAAUCUUAAACCAUCCUGAUAAGAAAGGAGGAGCCUGGAACAACUGGAGGUAUUAUUUUCUGGUUUCUUUUAUGUUUUCUUGGAAUCUUAACAUGAGAUUUUACUCAUGAAAUCAGCUUUUAUUUAAGCAAAUAUAUUCUGAGGAUGUACGAUGUCUCUAAAACUUCAUGG
rnacentral:lncRNA from 10 species